rnacentral:rRNA from 1 species
CCUACGGGUGGCUGCAGUGGGGAAUAUUGGACAAUGGGGGGAACCCUGAUCCAGCCAUGCCGCGUGUGUGAAGAAGGCCCUCGGGUUGUAAAGCACUUUCAGUGAGGAAGAACGCCUAGUGGUUAAUACCCAUCAGGAAAGACAUCACUCACAGAAGAAGCACCGGCUAACUCCGUGCCAGCAGCCGCGGUAAUACGGAGGGUGCGAGCGUUAAUCGGAAUUACUGGGCGUAAAGCGCGCGUAGGUGGCUUGAUAAGCCGGUUGUGAAAGCCCCGGGCUCAACCUGGGAACGGCAUCCGGAACUGUCAAGCUAGAGUGCAGGAGAGGAAGGUAGAAUUCCCGGUGUAGCGGUGAAAUGCGUAGAGAUCGGGAGGAAUACCAGUGGCGAAGGCGGCCUUCUGGACUGACACUGACACUGAGGUGCGAAAGCGUGGGUAGCAAACAGGAUUAGAUACCCUUGUAGUC